rnacentral:rRNA from 1 species
CGCGUAGGCGGUCCGAUAAGUUGGAUGUGAGAGCCCUGGGCUCAACCCAGGAAGUGCAUCCAAAACUGGCGGACUUGAAUCUCGGAGGGGGCCAGAGAAUUCCCGGUGUAGAGGUGAAAUUCGUAGAUAUCGAGAGGAAUACCAGUGGCGAAGGCGCUGGCCUGGACGAAGAUUGACGCUGAGGUGCGAAAGCGUGGGGAGCAAACA